CCUCCUAUAUAUGGUGUGUCUGCUAUGUUAAAUCCAACUAUGAAAUUAGGAGGUCCUAACUUAUUUUUUUCCAAUCCCUCCUAUAUAUGGUGUGUCUUGUAUGCUAAAUCCUACUAUGAAAUUAGGAGGACCUCACUUUUGGUAUUCUAGUAUUUAUCAAGCUUUAGACCUUGAUGAAGAAGAAAUGGCUACACUAUCUGAUGCGCAAGCAUCAAUUAAAGUGAAUGCUCUAACUGUUUAUAAUGCUUAUAAACAGGCGUUAGAGCAUGCUAGGCCUAAUAUUCCAGCCCCUACUUCGUCUACAUCACA
rnacentral:lncRNA from 1 species